UACAGAGACUGCAAGCGUUAUUCGGAUUCACUGGGCGUAAAGGGUGCGCAGGCGGCCAAGUGUGUUAGGCGUGAAAGCCCGGGGCUUAACCUGGGAAUUGCGCUUGAUACUGACGUGCUAGAGAACGGGAGAGGAUGGCGGAAUUCCCAGUGUAGAGGUGAAAUUCGUAGAUAUUGGGAAGAACACCGGUGGCGAAGGCGGCCAUCUGGACCGUUUCUGACGCUGAGGCGCGAAAGCGUGGGGAGCAAACAGG
rnacentral:rRNA from 1 species